rnacentral:rRNA from 1 species
GACGAACGCUGGCGGCGUGCUUAACACAUGCAAGUCGAACGAGUGGCGAACGGGUGAGUAAUACGUGGGUAACCUGCCCUCCUUUUUGGGAUAAGCCUUGGAAACGGGGUCUAAUACCGAAUAGUGAGGGAUGGGCUCGCGGGCUAUCAGCUUGUUGGGGGGGUGAUGGCUAACAAGGCGUGACGGGUAGCCGGCCUGGGAGGGUGACCGGCCACAGUGGGACUGGGAUACGGCCCAGACGCCUACGGGAGGCAGCAGGGGGGGAUAGUGCACAAUGGGCGAAAGCCUGAUGCAGCGACGCCGCGUGAAGGAAGACGGUCUUCGGAUUGUAAACUUCUUUAGACAGGGACGCGGUACCUGUAGAAUAAGCCACGGCUAACUACGUGCCAGCAGCCGCGGUAAUUC